rnacentral:rRNA from 1 species
UAGGGAAUAUUGCAAAAUGGGCGAAAGCCCGAUGCAGCAACGCCGCGUGGGCGAUGAAGGCCUUCGGGUCGUAAAGCCCUUUUUGAGGGGAUGAGGAAGGACAGUACCCUCAGAAUAAGCCUCGGCUAACUACGUGCCAGCAGCCGCGGUAAAACGUAGGAGGCGAGCGUUAUCCGGAUUUACUGGGCGUAAAGCGCGUGCAGGCGGAUUGGAGAGUUGGAUGUGAAAGCUCCCGGCUUAACUGGGAGAGGUCGUUCAAUACUUCCAGUCUUGAGUGCAGUAGAGNGAAGUGGAAUUCCGGGUGGAGUGGUGAAAUGCGUAGAUAUCCGGAGGAACACCAGUGGCGAAAGCGGCUUCCUGGACUGUAACUGACGCUCAGACGCGAAAGCUAGGGUAGCAAACG